rnacentral:tRNA from 1 species
GCGGGAAUAGCUCAGCUGGUAGAGCGACACGUUGCCAACGUGUAGGUCGCGAGUUCGAACCUCGUUUCCCGCUCCA